UACGUAGGGUGCAAGCGUUGUCCGGAAUUAUUGGGCGUAAAGAGCUCGUAGGCGGUCUGUCGCGUCGGCUGUGAAAACCCGAGGCUCAACCUCGGGCCUGCAGUCGAUACGGGCAAACUAGAGUACUGCAGGGGAGACUGGAAUUCCUGGUGUAGCGGUGAAAUGCGCAGAUAUCAGGAGGAACACCGAUGGCGAAGGCAGGUCUCUGGGCCACUACUGACGCUGAGAAGCGAAAGCGUGGGGAGCAAACAGG
rnacentral:rRNA from 1 species